GGUGAGGUGGCCGAGAGGCUGAAGGCGCUCCCUCGGCUAAGGGAGUAUGCGGUCAAAAGCUGACAUCCGGGGUUCGAAUCCCCGCCUCACCGCCA
rnacentral:tRNA from 1 species